AUCGGAGGAAAAGAAACUAACAAGGAUUCCCCUAGUAACGGCGAGUGAACCGGGAAGAGCUCAAAUUUGAAAUCUGGCGUGCUCAGUGCGUCCGAGUUGUAAUCUAUAGAGUCGUUUUCCGUGCCGGACUGUGUCCAAGUCCCUUGGAACAGGGUAUCAAAGAGGGUGAUAAUCCCGUACUUGACACAAUGACCGGUGCUCUGUGAUACGUCUUCUACGAGUCGAGUUGUUUGGGAAUGCAGCUCAAAAUGGGUGGUGAGUUCCAUCUAAAGCUAAAUAUUGGCGAGAGACCGAUAGCGAACAAGUACCGUGAGGGAAAGAUGAAAAGCACUUUGGAAAGAGAGUUAAACAGUACGUGAAAUUGUUAAAAGGGAAACGAUUGAAGUCAGUCGUGACUGAGAGGCUCAGCCGGUUCUGCCGGUGUAUUCCCCUCAGUCGGGUCAACAUCAGUUUUGUUCGGUGGAUAAGGGCAGUUGGAAGGUGGCACCCUCGGGUGUGUUAUAGCCAGCUGUCGCAUACAUCGGAUGAGACUGAGGAAUGCAGCUCGCCUUUAUGGCCGGGGUUCGCCCACGUUCGAGCAUAGGAUGUGACAUAA
rnacentral:rRNA from 1 species